rnacentral:rRNA from 1 species
UACGUAGGUGGCGAGCGUUGUCCGGAUUUAUUGGGCGUAAAGAGCGUGUAGGCGGCCAGGUAGGUCAGCUGUGAAAACUCGAGGCUCAACCUCGAGAUGUCGGCUGAAACCAUCUGGCUAGAGUCCGGAAGAGGAGAAUGGAAUUCCCGGUGUAGCGGUGAAAUGCGCAGAUAUCGGGAAGAACACCCGUGGCGAAGGCGGUUCUCUGGGACGGUACUGACGCUGAGACGCGAAAGCGUGGGGAGCAAACAGG